rnacentral:sRNA from 1 species
GAGACAAAGCAUAGUGGCUUUAAAGGAGGGAGGGGAGAGGAGGGGAGAGGAGAGGAGGGAGAGGAGAGAGAGGAGAGUACAUGCCAUCUGGUGUACAUGGAGCACUUUCCGGGUUAUUUCUGCUGGAGAUUUUUGCUCUGUUGUUACCGCUAGACUGUAACUGAUAAAAAGCAGACCCCUUUUUCCUCUCUCCUCUCUCUCUCCUUAUCUCCUCUCACUCUAACCCACUGCCUCUUUCUCCUCCAAUUUCAAAACCUGAUUUCCAAUUUCGUGCUCUGAUCUUCUUUGCAUGUCGUUUGGGAAAUGCAUCGAAAGGUUUUUCAACAAUAGUUGGAUGGUUUGAGCUAAAACAUCAGCUUUGACUUGGAGCACUAUUUUGUUUUAUAUGCAGUGAUUUGUGAAUGAAGGCAAUGUAGUAUCAACCACCUUUUGUGGUGCUGGAUAUAUGUAUUUAUAUUCAGCAAGGGGAAGAGACUGAACGAGUUUGCUGUCGAUUAAUGUUAAGCGCCAAAAGCGGAGCAUUUCCAUGGCUUUGAGGGUGGUUUAUAGUGAUAUUUGUCAGCAGAAGAUUCCAGAUGUUUCAGUAACUCUUAAACAGAAAAAUAUACAGCUGGGUAGAUAUCACCUUUCGUG